rnacentral:rRNA from 1 species
AACGAACGCUGGCGGCGUGCUUAACACAUGCAAGUCGAACGGGAAUAGUUCCUUCGGGAACUUAGUACAGUGGCGCACGGGUGAGUAACACGUAGGUGAUCUACCUCUUGCUGGGGAAUAACUCCGGGAAACCGAAGCUAAUUCCGCAUAAGUCUUCUAGUCUACGGACUGGAAGGGAAAGGUGGCCUCUUCAUGAAAGCUAUCGGCAAGAGAUGAGCCUGCGCAUCAUUAGCUAGUUGGUGAGGUAAUGGCUCACCAAGGCUUCGAUGAUUAGCUGAUCUGAGAGGAUGAUCAGCCACACUGGAACUGAAACACGGUCCAGACUCCUACGGGAGGCAG